GACAAAUAAAGCUCUCAGUUUUCUUGUUCAGCGAGUCACCUGCUCCUGAAAAUCAAAUAAGAGCUUUGCAGUUGGAGGCAAGCUUUCUUCGAAACCAAAUCAUUUCUGCACGUAAAGAAAACAAAGAAUGAGUAGAGGAAGUGGAGGUGGAUACGAUCGUCACAUCACCAUCUUCUCCCCUGAAGGUCGACUCUUUCAAGUCGAAUAUGCGUUUAAGGCAGUGAAGGCGGCAGCCAUCACUUCGAUCGGAGUUCGGGGGAAGGACUCUGUCUGUGUUGUCACGCAGAAGAAGGUUCCGGACAAGCUUUUGGAUCAGACUAGUGUCACCCACCUUUUUCCUAUUACCAAGUACCUCGGAUUGCUGGCUACCGGCAUGACAGCUGAUGCAAGGACUUUAGUUCAACAAGCG
rnacentral:misc_RNA from 1 species